rnacentral:rRNA from 1 species
UCCAGACUCCUACGGGAGGCAGCAGUGGGGAAUAUUGGGCAAUGGGCGAAAGCCUGACCCAGCAACGCCGCGUGAAGGAAGAAGGCUUUCGGGUUGUAAACUUCUUUUGACAGGGAAGAGCAGAAGACGGUACCUGUCGAAUAAGCCACGGCUAACUACGUGCCAGCAGCCGCGGUAAUACGUAGGUGGCAAGCGUUGUCCGGAUUUAUUGGGUGUAAAGGGCGUGUAGGCGGGAGCGCAAGUCAGAUGUGAAAACUCAGGGCUCAACCCUGAGCCUGCAUUUGAAACUGUGUUUCUUGAGUGCUGGAGAGGCAAUCGGAAUUCCGUGUGUAGCGGUGAAAUGCGUAGAUAUACGGAGGAACACCAGUGGCGAAGGCGGAUUGCUGGACAGUAACUGACGCUGAGGCGCGAAAGCGUGGGGAGCAAACAGGAUUAGAUACCCGUGUAG